rnacentral:rRNA from 1 species
ACUGUGGGGACGAAAGUCUCUGCUUUUAACUAGAUAGCAACUUUCAGCAGUGGAUGUCUAGGCUCGCACAUCGAUGAAGAACGCUGCGAACUGCGAUACGUAAUGCGAAUUGCAGGAUUCAGUGAGUCAUCGAAAUUUUGAACGCAUAUUGCACUUCCGGGUUAGUCCUGGAAGUAUGCCUGUAUCAGUGUCCGUACAUUAAACUUGACUUUCUUCCUUCCGUGUAGUCGGUG